rnacentral:rRNA from 1 species
GUGGGGAAUAUUGGACAAUGGGGGGAACCCUGAUCCAGCCAUGCCGCGUGUGUGAAGAAGGCCUUUUGGUUGUAAAGCACUUUAAGCGAGGAGGAGGCUACCGAGAUUAAUACUCUUGGAUAGUGGACGUUACUCGCAGAAUAAGCACCGGCUAACUCUGUGCCAGCAGCCGCGGUAAUACAGAGGGUGCAAGCGUUAAUCGGAUUUACUGGGCGUAAAGCGCGCGUAGGUGGCCAAUUAAGUCAAAUGUGAAAUCCCCGAGCUUAACUUGGUAAUUGCAUUCGAUACUGGUUGGCUAGAGUAUGGGAGAGGAUGGUAGAAUUCCAGGUGUAGCGGUGAAAUGCGUAGAGAUCUGGAGGAAUACCGAUGGCGAAGGCAGCCAUCUGGCCUAAUACUGACACUGAGGUGCGAAAGCAUGGGGAGCAAACAGGAUUAGAAACCCUAGUAGUCC